CUUCGACCAAGGUUCGACUUGAGCGCCAGCGAGAGAGCGUUGCCGCAGGCAACGACCCGAAGGGCGAAGCGCGCAGCGCUGAGUAAUCCUUCCCCCACCACCA
rnacentral:sRNA from 1 species